AAUAGUCCGGCCCGCCCCCCGCGGGGCGGACCCCGAAGGAGUGAGGGACCCCUCCCUAUACUCUAUACUAAUGGGAGGGGGACCGAACCCCUUUUAAAGAAGGAGUCCGGUCGAAGGAGAUAAGUAAUUUUUAUUAAUAAAAAUAAAUAAUUUAUUAUGAAAUUAUUUAUUAUUAUUAUAUAUAUAAGUAGUAAAAAGUAGAAUAAUAGAUUUGAAAUAUUUAUUAUAUAGAUUUAAAGAGAUAAUCAUGGAGUAUAAUAAUUAAAUUUAAUAAAUUUAAUAUAACUAUUAAUAGAAUUAGGUUACUAAUAAAUUAAUAACAAUUAAUUUUAAAACCUAAAGGUAAACCUUUAUAUUAAUAAUGUUAUUUUUUAUUAUAUUUAUAAUAAGAAUAAUUAUUAAUAAUAAUAAACUAAGUGAACUGAAACAUCUAAGUAACUUAAGGAUAAGAAAUCAACAGAGAUAUUAUGAGUAUUGGUGAGAGAAAAUAAUAAAGGUCUAAUAAGUAUUAUGUGAAAAAAAUGUAAGAAAAUAGGAUAACAAAUUCUAAGACUAAAUACUAUUAAUAAGUAUAGUAAGUACCGUAAGGGAAAGUAUGAAAAUGAUUAUUUUAUAAGCAAUCAUGAAUAUAUUAUAUUAUAUUAAUGAUGUACCUUUUGUAUAAUGGGUCAGCAAGUAAUUAAUAUUAGUAAAACAAUAAGUUAUAAAUAAAUAGAAUAAUAUAUAUAUAUAUAAAAAUAUAUUAAAAUAUUUAAUUAAUAUUAAUUGACCCGAAAGCAAACGAUCUAACUAUGAUAAGAUGGAUAAACGAUCGAACAGGUUGAUGUUGCAAUAUCAUCUGAUUAAUUGUGGUUAGUAGUGAAAGACAAAUCUGGUUUGCAGAUAGCUGGUUUUCUAUGAAAUAUAUGUAAGUAUAGCCUUUAUAAAUAAUAAUUAUUAUAUAAUAUUAUAUUAAUAUUAUAUAAAGAAUGGUACAGCAAUUAAUAUAUAUUAGGGAACUAUUAAAGUUUUAUUAAUAAUAUUAAAUCUCGAAAUAUUUAAUUAUAUAUAAUAAAGAGUCAGAUUAUGUGCGAUAAGGUAAAUAAUCUAAAGGGAAACAGCCCAGAUUAAGAUAUAAAGUUCCUAAUAAAUAAUAAGUGAAAUAAAUAUUAAAAUAUUAUAAUAUAAUCAGUUAAUGGGUUUGACAAUAACCAUUUUUUAAUGAACAUGUAACAAUGCACUGAUUUAUAAUAAAUAAAAAAAAAUAAUAUUUAAAAUCAAAUAUAUAUAUAUAUAUUUGUUAAUAGAUAAUAUACGGAUCUUAAUAAUAAGAAUUAUUUAAUUCCUAAUAUGGAAUAUUAUAUUUUUAUAAUAAAAAUAUAAAUACUGAAUAUCUAAAUAUUAUUAUUACUUUUUUUUUUAAUAAUAAUAAUAUGGUAAUAGAACAUUUAAUGAUAAUAUAUAUUAGUUAUUAAUUAAUAUAUGUAUUAAUUAAAUAGAGAAUGCUGACAUGAGUAACGAAAAAAAGGUAUAAACCUUUUCACCUAAAACAUAAGGUUUAACUAUAAAAGUACGGCCCCUAAUUAAAUUAAUAAGAAUAUAAAUAUAUUUAAGAUGGGAUAAUCUAUAUUAAUAAAAAUUUAUCUUAAAAUAUAUAUAUUAUUAAUAAUUAUAUUAAUAAUAUAUAUAAUUAUNNNNNNNNNNAUUAAUAAUAUAUAUAAUUAUAUUAUAUAUUUUUUUUUUAUAUAAUAUAAACUAAUAAAGAUCAGGAAAUAAUUAAUGUAUACCGUAAUGUAGACCGACUCAGGUAUGUAAGUAGAGAAUAUGAAGGUGAAUUAGAUAAUUAAAGGGAAGGAACUCGGCAAAGAUAGCUCAUAAGUUAGUCAAUAAAGAGUAAUAAGAACAAAGUUGUACAACUGUUUACUAAAAACACCGCACUUUGCAGAAACGAUAAGUUUAAGUAUAAGGUGUGAACUCUGCUCCAUGCUUAAUAUAUAAAUAAAAUUAUUUAACGAUAAUUUUAUUAAAUUUAGGUAAAUAGCAGCCUUAUUAUGAGGGUUAUAAUGUAGCGAAAUUCCUUGGCCUAUAAUUGAGGUCCCGCAUGAAUGACGUAAUGAUACAACAACUGUCUCCCCUUUAAGCUAAGUGAAAUUGAAAUCGUAGUGAAGAUGCUAUGUACCUUCAGCAAGACGGAAAGACCCUAUGCAGCUUUACUGUAAUUAGAUAGAUCGAAUUAUUGUUUAUUAUAUUCAGCAUAUUAAGUAAUCCUAUUAUUAGGUAAUCGUUUAGAUAUUAAUGAGAUACUUAUUAUAAUAUAAUGAUAAUUCUAAUCUUAUAAAUAAUUAUUAUUAUUAUUAAUAAUAAUAAUAUGCUUUCAAGCAUAGUGAUAAAACAUAUUUAUAUGAUAAUCACUUUACUUAAUAGAUAUAAUUCUUAAGUAAUAUAUAAUAUAUAUUUUAUAUAUAUUAUAUAUAAUAUAAGAGACAAUCUCUAAUUGGUAGUUUUGAUGGGGCGUCAUUAUCAGCAAAAGUAUCUGAAUAAGUCCAUAAAUAAAUAUAUAAAAUUAUUGAAUAAAAAAAAUAAUAUAUAUUAUAUAUAUUAAUUAUAAAUUGAAAUAUGUUUAUAUAAAUUUAUAUUUAUUGAAUAUAUUUUAGUAAUAGAUAAAAAUAUGUACAGUAAAAUUGUAAGGAAAACAAUAAUAACUUUCUUAAAAAAUAAAAAUGGAAAGAAUUAAAUUAAUAUAAUGGUAUAACUGUGCGAUAAUUGUAACACAAACGAGUGAAACAAGUACGUAAGUAUGGCAUAAUGAACAAAUAACACUGAUUGUAAAGGUUAUUGAUAACGAAUAAAAGUUACGCUAGGGAUAACAGGGUAAUAUAACGAAAGAGUAGAUAUUGUAAGUUAUGUUUGCCACCUCGAUGUCGACUCAACAUUUCCUCUUGGUUGUAAAAGCUAAGAAGGGUUUGACUGUUCGUCAAUUAAAAUGUUACGUGAGUUGGGUUAAAUACGAUGUGAAUCAGUAUGGUUCCUAUCUGCUGAAGGAAAUAUUAUCAAAUUAAAUCUCAUUAUUAGUACGCAAGGACCAUAAUGAAUCAACCCAUGGUGUAUCUAUUGAUAAUAAUAUAAUAUAUUUAAUAAAAAUAAUACUUUAUUAAUAUAUUAUCUAUAUUAGUUUAUAUUUUAAUUAUAUAUUAUCAUAGUAGAUAAGCUAAGUUGAUAAUAAAUAAAUAUUGAAUACAUAUUAAAUAUGAAGUUGUUUUAAUAAGAUAAUUAAUCUGAUAAUUUUAUACUAAAAUUAAUAAUUAUAGGUUUUAUAUAU
rnacentral:rRNA from 1 species